AGUCGAGCGGAACGAGUUAUCUGAACCUUCGGGGGACGAUAACGGCGUCGAGCGGCGGACGGGUGAGUAAUGCCUAGGAAAUUGCCCUGAUGUGGGGGAUAACCAUUGGAAACGAUGGCUAAUACCGCAUAAUGCCUACGGGCCAAAGAGGGGGACCUUCGGGCCUCUCGCGUCAGGAUAUGCCUAGGUGGGAUUAGCUAGUUGGUGAGGUAAUGGCUCACCAAGGCGACGAUCCCUAGCUGGUCUGAGAGGAUGAUCAGCCACACUGGAACUGAGACACGGUCCAGACUCCUACGGGAGGCAGCAGUGGGGAAUAUUGCACAAUGGGCGCAAGCCUGAUGCAGCCAUGCCGCGUGUGUGAAGAAGGCCUUCGGGUUGUAAAGCACUUUCAGUCGUGAGGAAGGUGGUAUUGUUAAUAGCACUAUCAUUUGACGUUAGCGACAGAAGAAGCACCGGCUAACUCCGUGCCAGCAGCCGCGGUAAUACGGAGGGUGCGAGCGUUAAUCGGAAUUACUGGGCGUAAAGCGCAUGCAGGUGGUUUGUUAAGUCAGAUGUGAAAGCCCGGGGCUCAACCUCGGAAUAGCAUUUGAAACUGGCAGACUAGAGUACUGUAGAGGGGGGUAGAAUUUCAGGUGUAGCGGUGAAAUGCGUAGAGAUCUGAAGGAAUACCGGUGGCGAAGGCGGCCCCCUGGACAGAUACUGACACUCAGAUGCGAAAGCGUGGGGAGCAAACAGGAUUAGAUACCCUGGUAGUCCACGCCGUAAACGAUGUCUACUUGGAAGGUUGUGGCCUUGAGCCGUGGCUUUCGGAGCUAACGCGUUAAGUAGACCGCCUGGGGGAGUACGGUCGCAAGAUUAAAACUCAAAUGAAUUUGACGGGGGCCCGCACAAGCGGUGGAACCAUGUGGGUUUAAUUCGAUGCAACGCGAAGAACCUUACCUACUCUUGACAUCCAGAGAACUUUCCGGAGAUGGGAUUGGUUGCCUUCGGGAACUCUGAAACAGGUGCUUGCAGGGCUGUCCUCCACCUCGUGGUGUUGAAAUGUUUGGGGUUAAAUUCCCGCCACCAAACCGCAACCCCUUAUUCCUUGUUUUGCCACCCAAAUAAUGUUCGGGGAAAUUCCAG
rnacentral:rRNA from 1 species